GGGCUUGUUUGGAUGUAGUCGGAUUCACAUCAAUCCACAUAUGUUGGAAUGGGUUGGAGUGUAAUUUGAACUAAAUUCCACCUCAAUCCACUUCAACACAUGUGGAUUGAGAUGAAUACGAUAACAUCCAAACAACCGGUCU
rnacentral:pre_miRNA from 1 species